AUCAGUUUGUCCUUUCACUCUGUUUUGAUUUGUCCUCUACAUGUAAAUGUCAGACAAAAAUAUAUUAAGCCAUAUUACUGGAAAAUCCAUCUGUC